rnacentral:rRNA from 1 species
GUGGGGAAUCUUCCACAAUGGACGAAAGUCUGAUGGAGCAACGCCGCGUGAGUGAAGAAGGGUUUCGGCUCGUAAAGCUCUGUUGUCGGGGACGAAUGUGCAGUAUUUGAAUAAAGUACUGCAAUGACGGUACCUGACGAGGAAGCCACGGCUAACUACGUGCCAGCAGCCGCGGUAAUACGUAGGUGGCAAGCGUUGUCCGGAAUUAUUGGGCGUAAAGGGAGCGCAGGCGGGAAGGUAAGUCGGUCUUAAAAGUGCGGGGCUCAACCCCGUGAUGGGAUCGAAACUAUCUUUCUUGAGUGCAGGAGAGGAAAGUGGAAUUCCUAGUGUAGCGGUGAAAUGCGUAGAUAUUAGGAGGAACACCAGUGGCGAAGGCGACUUUCUGGACUGUAACUGACGCUGAGGCUCGAAAGCCAGGGGAGCGAACGGGAUUAGAAACCCCAGUAGUCC